AAACGCUCUCUUGAAGUAUAGAUUUUUCUAGUUUGUCGUUCGCCGAUUCUACGGUGUGCCAAACGCACGGGAAGCGCGGAGGGAACCUCUCUGGUCGGAAUACUUCGCGUCAAAUUCUUUGGGAGGAUGGCGAUGAGGGAUUUGGUUACCGGCGGAGCGGCUUGCGCCGUCCCCGGUAGCUCAUCAUCCUCGAACCCCUUCGGAGCCCUUGCGAACGCCAUUCUGGGAUCAUCCAGGAAAGCCCAGGAUUUGAAGGGGCUUCCAGAAGGCGGGGUUGCAGUACCUACUACCUCUUCAGAUUUGAGACCUGAAGCUCAAUUGACAAGCAUCCCAGGUUCUGAAUAUGAGAAUCAGCUAUAUCAGCAAUCUGAUGCUCAGAGUUCUGAAUUUCUUCGUGGAUUUUAUUCUGGUGGUCACGGGAGUUUUGAAGAUGUCUGGGGCGAAGUUCAUCGACCUCCACUUCUACCUCUUGGUGGGAUCAGGGAGAGUGAUGGUCAUUUUGCGGAAUUCGAGCAGAUAUAUGAUGGUGGUGCGAAUUCCAAUGCCCACCAAACUUGGGAUGGACCACCACAAAGGGUUCUAUCCAGUUUCUUGCACUAUUUUGUGAAUAGUGAUCGUGAUCGCUUUGGAUUUCGCCCAAUUCCUCUUCCUGCUCUGGGUUUGUCAGAAAGUGAUAAACGAUGCAUACGUGAUCGUAGCUGCAUCAUGUCCAGGCAUAUUUUUGCUGAUAAAAAUGAGCAGUAUAUUAAUGAACAGGUCAAUGCAUUCCUGCACUGUCUAGACAUUGACAACGAUCAUGUAACCAGAGGGCCUAUGCAAGGGCCUUAUGCAGAACUUGAGGAAUAUUGGAACAAUUCCCAAGCUGUUCUAAGACCUGGGAUCCCCCAUCCGACUGAUAAUUGGAUUACAGAAUUUACUCAACAAAGAAGAAAUGCAGACCCAGAGGCUUGGGCACAUUCUUUUGAGAGACAACAUGGUGCUCAAGGUUGGGCAUCAGAAUUUGAGCAGGAACAAGCACAAAUGGCCUCAGCCGGUCAGCUGGUAGGUUCAAACCUAUCCAACAUAGCAGCAAUGGAGCAGACUCGGAUGCUUGCACACACAUUAGCUCAAAAUAAUGACCCAAAGUUCCAGAACUCAAAGUUUCUUCAGUUCGUAUCAAAGAUGAGCCGAGGUGAGCUAAUAGUUGAUGACAAUCAAAUCAAACCAGCCACUGAAAGUGUGUCCGGUGAUUGGGCCAAUGAAUUUCAGACGCAAUAUAAUCAAAGUUCUAGCCCGUGGGUUGAUCAGUUUGUCCGUGAACAGCUUCCACAAGAAACAAAUAAUUGGAUUAGUGAGUUUGCUAAAGAGCAUCAGAAGGAGGUAUCUGAUGAUCAGUGGGUGAAUGAGUUCUCCAAACUGCAUGUUCAGGAUUGGGCAGAAGAAUUCGGGCAGCAGCUUGCUGAAGGAGUUUUUGAUGAAACUACUGGUGACCAAUGGGCAGAUAAUUAUGAAGAUUACCUAGGUGAUCAGCUUACUUCCAGACAAAAAUCGAGUGCUUCAAGAGGGGUCUAUGUUUUUUCCGAUAUGAAUCCUUAUGUUGGUCACCCCAACCCUUUAAAAGAAGGCCAAGAACUCUUUCGCAAGGGGCUUUUAAGUGAAGCUGUACUUGCAUUGGAGGCUGAAGUUCUGAAGAAUCCUGACAAUGCUGAAGGCUGGAGAUUUCUUGGAAUUACGCAUGCAGAAAAUGAUGAUGAUCAGCAGGCUAUUGCAUCAAUGAUGCGGGCACAAGAGGUUGAUCCAACAAAUCUCGAAGUGCUUCUUGCUCUCGGUGUCAGUUAUACUAAUGAAUUAGAGCAGGCUGAAGCUCUUAGGUAUCUGUAUAAAUGGCUUCAAAAUCACCCCAAAUAUAGAGAUCUUGCUCCGCAAGAACAAUCUAGUUCUUUUUUUCAUACUGAUAUCGCUAGAUUGUUCAAUGAAGCAGCUCGCUUGUCACCAGAGGAUGUUGAUGUCCAUAUAGUUCUCGGUGUGAUGUACAAUGUCUCAAGGGAGUAUGACAAAGCUAUUCAAUCUUUUGAAACAGCACUGAAACUCAAGCCACAUGACUACUCUCUCUGGAACAAACUUGGUGCAACUCAAGCGAAUAGUGUCCACAGCGAAGAUGCAAUAUUGGCAUAUCAGCAGGCACUUGACUUGAAACCUAACUAUGUUCGUGCUUGGGCUAAUAUGGGCAUCAGUUUUGCCAAUCAGGGUCGAUACGAAGAGUCGAUUCGUUACUAUGUGAGAGCUCUUUCAAUGAAUCCUAAGGCCGAUAACGCUUGGCAAUACUUGCGUAUCUCUCUCAGGUUUGCAUCUCGCACCGACAUGUUAGAAGCUUGCAACGCGCACAAUCUCGAUCUUCUCCAGAAGGAAUUUCCUUUGUGAUUUCACCAAUCCCCGCAGCACUUUCAUUUACCAAUUACAACAAAACAUGCAUGAAAAGGAAGCACAGAAUGAUGGUUAUUAGGCCCGAGGCCUCAUCAUCUGGCCACAAUAACGUGGAGUUGCAGUGCAUUUGACUGAACUUGGAACUGUGCAAUCAUCAACCCUUGAUCGAGCAUUCAUUAGUAUAUAUAUAUAGAUAUAUUGUAGGAAUUUCAGCCUUCAGAAGAGCUUGGCUCCAUUGUAUCAAAUAAACACAUGAAAAUGUUGAAUGUGAUCUUAAAAAGUUGUUGCAGUGUAGAUUACUGAAGUAUUUAUUUGUAGAUCGAGAACCCAACUGCUUUAUUGGUCAGCAUUGGAUUUGUUGUUUCUUUUGAUAUUA